GAUAUUCUGUAGGCAUUAAAUUCGAGCAUUAAAACAUAUAAAGACAUAAAGAUAUUUUGUCUGCGAGCAGAUUUAAGUCCAGAAAAUGAUUGCUGCUUGGUAUACGAUACUGAUUUUGUUAUCAAUCAUGUACCUCACGAUUGCGUUUCCCUGGUACGGUGGAGGUGGUUAUCGGUAUGGCGGCCCCCGUGUGCAUUAUGGGGGAUGGCGCAAUGGAAAUGACGAUGACUAUGGCUAUAAUGGAUGGGAUAAUGGAUACAACACAUAAUCAUGAUAAUUAAAUAUGUUCUCAUGCAGUUGGAGUUUUCUUUUUCCAAACUGUUUCAGAAAGUUACCGAUGUAUCUGUUGUGUUCUAGGUUGCACCAUACACUCCAAAAUUUGAUUAAAACCUUUUAACUAUAGCACACUUACCACACAGAAAAGAGCCACAUUUCGUUGAGGACUGUUUUCCUAGCUCUUAAAUGCAUUAACGAUGCCUAUGUUUAAUAUGCUAACAUUACACAACUGGAUUUUUU